AACAGGAUUAGAUACCCUGGUAGUCCACGCUGUAAACGAUGUCGACUUGGAGGUUGUGCCCUUGAGGCGUGGCUUCCGGAGCUAACGCGUUAAGUCGACCGCCUGGGGAGUACGGCCGCAAGGUUAAAACUCAAAUGAAUUGACGGGGGCCCGCACAAGCGGUGGAGCAUGUGGUUUAAUUCGAUGCAACGCGAAGAACCUUACCUACUCUUGACAUCCAGAGAAUUUGCUAGAGAUAGCUUAGUGCCUUCGGGAACUCUGAGACGGGUGCUGCAUGGCUGUCGUCAGCUCGUGUUGUGAAAUGUUGGGUUAAGUCCCGCAACGAGCGCAACCCUUAUCCUUUGUUGCCAGCACGUAAUGGUGGGAACUCAAAGGAGACUGCCGGUGAUAAACCGGAGGAAGGUGGGGAUGACGUCAAGUCAUCAUGGCCCUUACGAGUAGGGCUACACACGUGCUACAAUGGCAUAUACAAAGAGAAGCGAACUCGCGAGAGCAAGCGGACCUCAUAAAGUAUGUCGUAGUCCGGAUUGGAGUCUGCAACUCGACUCCAUGAAGUCGGAAUCGCUAGUAAUCGUAGAUCAGAAUGCUACGGUGAAUACGUUCCCGGGCCUUGUACACACCGCCCGUCACACCAUGGGAGUGGGUUGCAAAAGAAGUAGGUAGCUUAACCUUCGGGAGGGCGCUUACCACUUUGUGAUUCAUGACUGGGGUGAAGUCGUAACAAGGUAACC
rnacentral:rRNA from 1 species